ensembl:lincRNA Gm27216 predicted gene 27216
AGUUCUGAUGAACGCUAACCAGUAGACGGUAACCACAGUGAUUGGCAGAGCUUGGACGCCAAGUCUAACCUGCUCUGAGCUGAUGUGCACUGUUGGCUCCUGUUGUGCUGCACAGGCCUCCGGUAUUACAAAUGGAACUCAAGAGCAUACACCACUCAUCUCUGCUAGUGGAUCACCUCUGAACGUUGUCUGCGCUGGGCUGAGGAUGCUCAUUACUGAAGUUCAAGGUUCUUACUGAUGUCACUGGAAAAUUUGUCUCUGCUCUGAGAAAUCACAGGGAUUAGUCUUUGUGACUCGUGAGGUGACUACACUAACACCUGGUGUUGAUAAGAUGGCAUGAAAACAGCCAGCUCUGGAAGUCGUGCGGAGUGAUGGCUCAGAAGUGAAUAGUGCUUGCUGCUCUUCCCGAGGACCCGAGAUGGGUUACCAGCACCCAUGUUCUCCAGAUCACAGUCUUCGCUAACUCCAGCUCCAGGGCUUCUAACCCCCUCUUCUGGCCUCCAUGGUACCUUUACUCAUGUGCCUGACAUCCUCCCACACAUACUUAAUGAAAAAAUAGAAUUAAAUCUUUAAUAAUAAUAAUAAAGAGUCCCGGAAGAGUUU